AGUUGCUCUCUCCCUCUGCCUUCUUCUCCUCCAUCUUCUUCUUCUCUUUCCUCCUCCCUUGUUCUUUCUCCUCCUCCUUCUUUUUCCAUCCUGCAUCAAUUUGGUAUCAGAAGCAUCCUAAUCUCCCUGCCUCCCGAGCAUGUCUUGCAUCAAUUUGGUACAGAGCUUGUCCUAACCUGCAUCAAUAGUACAUAAUAGGACCGGACAGUUACCAUGUUGAAGAAAGGAGUAGAGGAUCGUACAUAUUAUAAUAGUACAUAUUUAUAAUAUGUUGAAGAAAGGAGUCAAUUCAGAAAUUAAGGGUUGGUUAGAACACUUUCAACAUUAAUGUUUGAUUACCAAAUUCUUUGAUGUGAAUGGGAAAAUAGCUGUAAAAUUCCUGAACGGGUUUCACCGCAUGUAAACAUGACAUUAUGUCACUAAUCAAAAUUUUGACAAUACCUUACAAGCUCCCAAGUUGAACAAUGUAAUGAUUAUCUGGCUCGAGCUGGCUGACUGGGUUGACUACAUUAGUGGCUGUGCUUAUGACAGUCCAUGAGCACUUCUAAUUAGUGAUUCCUUCAUACAUAAACUUAUGCAUGACAUUAGAUUCUUUGAAAAUUUCAACCCGUC
rnacentral:lncRNA from 1 species